rnacentral:lncRNA from 1 species
UCGUGGCAGGAUUAACUUUGAGAAUGAUUCCAAAUAUGACAGCUUAUAUAUUCGAUUUUUUGUACAAUUUUUUUGUUUAAUUUAUCUCUAUAUAUUUAUAUUGUAUUCUACAUAAGUUUUUGUAUGCUUUGGAAAUAGUCUAACAUUCAGGUUAAAGACAAAUUCCAGUGAAGAAAGAAGAAGUUAGUUACAAAUUUGAAUACGAACAAUAAUUAUACUAAAUCAAGUGGCAGCACGGAACGACGUUGUGCGUUUAACCGUACGUUCAAUAUGCAUACAUGCAUUUUUAAAUUUGCUAUGGCAAUUAAAUUAAAGUUCUGAAAGUUGUAAGCCGCGCGCUAAUCAUUUGGUGGAUGGUCAAAACAUAAUAAAAGUGUCUAGUCGUUGAUGGUUUCAUAUUAUGGCUAACAUCGGGUUGAGCGGGGUGGGACAAGCAGAUUGAUUAGUGCGGUGCGAUUUAAGUGUGGUUUGUGUUAGAAAAACGCAUACUGC